CUUGUUGUUUCAGAGGUUUUUCUAUUUUCUUUCUAUCCUCAGCGGCUUCACACAAAGGCAGACAUGACCUCUGAACCCGGCCUCAGAAAUGAAUCAUCGACGAUCCCGUGUCCUGAAACACAUGCAGCACCAUGAACCAGAGAAGAGGACUCUUCUUCACUUGUCGUGUUUCUCAGUACAUCCUCAUUCAAGAUGACUGCACAGUCACAGGCCUCAGUGAUUGCCACAGAAAUCCCAGCAGAGAUUCCGAUCCCCCCGUUUACAAUUCUGGCAUUGAGAAUGGCGGCUUUGGUUAGAAAGCUGCCAGGAUAUUCCCACAAUAGCAGGGCGGAGGAUAAUGAGGUGGUCCUGACGGGAUGGAAUUCCCAUUCAAGGCCAUCUUGGCAGCAAGUUUGUGCAACAACUCAAAAGAUUCACUUUGGGGGGACUGGGAAGGCGAUACUCCUGUCUGCCGUGGCAGGGAAUCUGUCCCUGUCCAAUAUCUUAUGACAACACAGGCAAAGCUUACUUUCCCCAUUGGAGGCUUGCUGAGGCACACAGUACUUCACUAUAUUUUUCCUGUGUCGUAUUUUUCCAAGUCAUUUAUAUUAUUAUGCAGGGGGC
ensembl:lncRNA